ncrna:unclassified sequences Glutamine-II riboswitch (downstream peptide RNA)
UAACGUUGAACCCUAUGAGGUUGCAAUAAAACCGACCAUGCAACGGGGGUCGGU